AUGAAAUGUGUGAAGUCAACUAGAAUUGUUCUGAAUGAACUUAGAGAAAAUGAAUGGGAAUCUAUGCUAGGUGAAGUUCAUGUGUUUUGUGAGACACAUGAUAUUGUAGAGUUGGACAUGGAAGAAGCAUAUGUUAAUCCAAAAAAGAGAAGGCAGGUAACUGGAAUUACCAACAAACAUCAGUAUCAAGUUGAUUGUUUCAAUGAUGUUUUUGAUUGGCUAGUUCAAGAGCUUGACAAAUCGGUUCAGUGA
rnacentral:rRNA from 1 species